rnacentral:misc_RNA from 1 species
CAACUGACUUUGUGAGUGCUGUCGCUUAUGCACUUGAACAAUGUCAUUUGUGCUCAAGAAACUAGGCUGAUUGGUUGAAGCAAGAAGCCGUGCCCACAUCCUGUCUGUUAUGACCACAUUAUUUUGCUUCUCAGUAAUGCGAUUAAAGGGAAGAUAUGUUUGGCGGUCUACUGCAGUACACAGAUAGCAUCAAAACUCAGCAGAUGUAUGGAUCCAUCUUUCAUUAUCCAAACCAAAAGGUAUCUCCAGUCUAGAGAGCUAUAGUAUACUGCAGUAGCAUAUAGGUUUUCCAUAUAUUCGGUGUAAAGCUUCUAGAGCACCGGUUUUGAAGAGGAUGCUAAGUUUCUCAAAGAAAGGUGGCCCUGGAAAAGAAGGUCAAUCUUUUGCUCCUUUGUUUGUGAGUUGCUCAUCUAUGUGGAAUUCCAGCGACAAAGCAGAAUAUGCUCCCUCUAAGAAGGUGCUGACCGGAGUGGAAUCUGCAUUGGAACAUCACUCCGACAUCAAGAAAUCAGAAUGCCAGUUCCAAGAUCAGGAUUCAACGUCUACUCUGUCAACUGGUCAAUCUAAUCAUGUGGAGGCCGCAAUGGGAAAAAGCAAUACUGUUCUUCAAAAUGUUGCAGUUCAUCCAGGUUGGGGUGGAACUUAUGAGGUGCAAGCAGAGAGUGGAACAAACGCAUCCCGAUCAGGCGAAAGUGACACCAACACUCUCCCCCAGCCACAAGUGAAUCAUAAUCAUCCAAUGGCUUGCGUAUCCUACCCUUUCGCUGACACUUACUUUGGAAGGCUCGUGACUGCUUAUGGAUCAAAUGCCAUCAUUUAUCCUCAAAUGGUUGGUGUCACCUCUACUAGAGUUGCACUUCCUCUUGAAUGCACCGAGAGCUUGCCCAUUUAUGUGAAUGCGAAACAAUACAGUGCUAUUCUCAAAAGGCGACAGGUCCGUGCCAAGCUAGAGGCUCAAAAUAAGCUUGUCAAAGACAGAAAGCCAUAUCUUCACGAGUCUCGACAUCGUCAUGCAAUGAAGAGAGCUAGGGGUUCUGGAGGACGCUUUUUGAACACAAAGAAUAUGCAGGAAUCCAAGCCUUCAUCUCCAAUGCACGACAGAAAUAUCUUUAAGCGACAGGCAGGUGGCAACUUAUCUAGUUCCAUGGUUCAGCACUCAGAGAGUGGUAGUUGGGGGACUUCCACCCAAUCUGGUUCUGAUGUGACAAGUAUCUUCAGUGGUGACAACAUGUUCCAGCAACCAGAGUUCAGAGUCUCUGGCUUCCCUUUUCACAUUCAGGAAGCUGAAGACUUCCUGCAUGUUGGAACCUGACAGCACACUUGUGUUAUCCAUGGUGGCGGUGCCAAUACAGGCUGCAUUACAAAUGCAUUCUUAUUGGUGCACACAAAUGGAUAAUCGGCAGUUCAUCCUUGGCUAUGUUACUCUUCCUUUUCCUGAAUUGAAAUCAUGAACACUUUUCCUAAAGCUUUAGUUGUGUUAUGGUAUAUGUUUCAUAGUUAAAUGAGAAAGAGCGCAGGUUGGUGCCGCACGUGAUCAAGAAGGGCAAGGAAAAGAGAAAAAUAUAUUGGUCUUAAUGAGAAACAGUGGAGAUUAAGGCUGUAAAAGAAUUCUCCUUUUCUUGGUCGAGCGUGUGUGUAUCAUCUUGCACUUCUAAGUCUGUACUUGUUAGUGUCAUUUGCAUUUGUGGUUUUCAUUUCUGUGCUAUGUAUUGUAUCACUGUUAAUAUGUUUAACUCAGGCUUUG